CCUUGAAGAUCGGAGUGCUUGCACUCUGUGAAACAAGAUACAGGCUAGCGGCGGACGGGUGAGUAACACGUGGGUAACCUGCCCAAGAGAUCGGGAUAACACCUGGAAACAGAUGCUAAUACCGGAUAACAACAGAUGAUGCCUAUCAACUGUUUAAAAGAUGGUUCUGCUAUCACUCUUGGAUGGACCUGCGGUGCAUUAGCUAGUUGGUAGGGUAACGGCCUACCAAGGCGAUGAUGCAUAGCCGAGUUGAGAGACUGAUCGGCCACAUUGGGACUGAGACACGGCCCAAACUCCUACGGGAGGCAGCAGUAGGGAAUCUUCCACAAUGGACGCAAGUCUGAUGGAGCAACGCCGCGUGAGUGAAGAAGGGUUUCGGCUCGUAAAGCUCUGUUGUUGGUGAAGAAGGACAGGGGUAGUAACUGACCUUUGUUUGACGGUAAUCAAUUAGAAAGUCACGGCUAACUACGUGCCAGCAGCCGCGGUAAUACGUAGGUGGCAAGCGUUGUCCGGAUUUAUUGGGCGUAAAGCGAGUGCAGGCGGCUCGAUAAGUCUGAUGUGAAAGCCUUCGGCUCAACCGGAGAAUUGCAUCAGAAACUGUCGAGCUUGAGUACAGAAGAGGNNNNUGGAACUCCAUGUGUAGCGGUGAAAUGCGUAGAUAUAUGGAAGAACACCGGUGGCGAANGCGGCUCUCUGGUCUGUUACUGA
rnacentral:rRNA from 1 species